rnacentral:rRNA from 1 species
AGAGUUUGAUCCUGGCUCAGAACGAACGCUGGCGGCGUGGAUUAGGCAUGCAAGUCGUACGCGAAAGAGGGGGAAACUCCUCGAGUAGAGUGGCGAACGGGUGAGUAACGCGUGAAGAACCUGCCUUCAACAGGGGGAUAACACUCCCAACGGGGUGCUAAUACCGCAUGAGACCACGGGCUCGCAUGGGCCUGAGGUCAAAGGUGGCCUCUGCUUGCAAGCUACCGGUUGAAGAUGGCUUCGCGUCCCAUUAGCUAGUUGGCGGUGUAAAGGACCACCAAGGCGACGAUGGGUAGCUGGUCUGAGAGGAUGGUCAGCCACACUGGGACUGAGAUACGGCCCAGACUCCUACGGGAGGCAGCAGUCGAGAGGCUUCGGCAAUGGGGGAAACCCUGACCGAGCGACGCCGCGUGGAGGAUGAAGGCCCUUGGGUUGUAAACUCCUUUUGUCGGGGAAGAAAUGCGAUCAGGUGAACAAUCUGGUCGUUUGACGGUACCCGGCGAAUAAGCUCCGGCUAACUCCGUGCCAGCAGCCGCGGUAACACGGGGGGAGCAAGCGUUGUUCGGAAUCACUGGGCGUAAAGGGCGUGUAGGCGGUCAAGUAAGUGGGAUGUGAAAUGCCCCGGCUCACCCGGGGACCGGCAUCCCAUACUGCUUGGCUUGAGUACGGGAGAGGAUGUGGGAAUUCCUGGUGUAGCGGUGAAAUGCGUAGAUAUCAGGAGGAACACCGGUGGCGAAGGCGCACAUCUGGCCCGAUACUGACGCUGACAGCGCGAAAGCUAGGGGAGCAAACGGGAUUAGAUACCCCAGUAGUCC